UACAGAGGGUGCAAGCGUUAAUCGGAAUUACUGGGCGUAAAGCGUGCGUAGACGGUUAUGUAAGUCGGGUGUGAAAGCCCCGGGCUCAACCUGGGAAUUGCAUUCGAGACUGUGUAGCUAGGGUACGGAAGAGGGAAGCGGAAUUUCAGGUGUAGCGGUGAAAUGCGUAGAUAUCUGAAGGAACACCGGUGGCGAAGGCGGCAUCCUGGACCAUGACUGACGCUGAGGAGCGAAAGCCAGGGGAGCAAACGGG
rnacentral:rRNA from 1 species